rnacentral:lncRNA from 1 species
UGAUGAGCAUAAGCAAGGAAGCGAGGAGGAGUUCCAAUAAUCAAGGAUUAUGUAAGUACUGCUGAAAUCAUCACCAGAAGAGGAAUCCCAGAACUGUCUAUAAUACAUCAGUUGAGCCAUUGAGAAGGAGAGACAGUUUGGGGAAUUCAAAGCCAAAGGAUGGGUGGAGGCAUCAAACACAUCCAGUUAUUUGGACAUCACAUACAGGGAGAAGGCAAUCAGCUUUGCAUGAAUGCAUAAUUCUGCAGAUCAUCGGAACCAAAUCGAUAGGACAGGUCAGUCUGUGUUCGAUUCAUGUGGUCUAACAAUUCACAUAAAGGCUCUAAACUCGCUGAAACACGUAUUUUCAGACUAUUUGAAUUGUUAAAAGCAAUAUAUUGAGGAUGUUUGAGAGUGAUCUUUCGUUAAAACUUUGUUAGACAUCAGCACAGGUCCUGUAAGACUCCAUAUUUAUUACCUCUAAUGAUUCUACUGAAUCAAGAAAGUAUCCAAAGCUUUGGAAUUAAUCCAAUAACUUCAGGAAAAUUUUCAAGGUUGCUGCAGUCCCAAAGAAGAAA